UUUUUCUCACUGCGUGAACGAGUGUCUUAAUCUAAAUAUUUGUUAACUACUCAUCGUACCAUUAUUGAAAAUUUGGACUAAAGUUGUUGAUGAGAUUAUAAACUUGAACCAUUUCAAUGGCGGAGGAUAAUUUCUCCUGAUAUAGAUGACGUUUCAAAGGUGAGAAACAAACCUUGAGAGCAACAGUUUGAUCAUAGUCUAACUAACGUUUCAUUGAAUUCCUGAAGUUACCCAAAAAUCGACCCAAGUUAAUGCAGCCCAUGAACGCAUUAAUCUAUUCAUGUAGGAAUGGUGUGGCGAACCACAGUCAUCAAGAAGAAACUUUUCGCAUUCUCAAUAUCGUUGUAUGAAGAGGCUUGGCGAGGAGGAGAAUCCCACCGACGAAGUAGGCCGCCCCGGUCAAGUGUUUGUCGAUUUCGGAGCUGGGCCACCAACUUGUGUAAAUGCCGGUAAUUUGGCUGGCCAAGAUGAGAAUUGUCGAGAAAAUACCACCGCAUCCAUGAAGGACUUUUCGGCGAGUUAUGCUCGCUUCAGCACAGCACAUUCCAGUGCCCAAGCACAGGACACCGUUCAUAGCUACUAUCAGAGCCAACGCGAUAGCGAACACACCCAGUUUCCCAUGGAUGAAAGCGGCGUGAAGAGAACCGAACUGGAUACGAUGAGCUAUGAUCGUCCCUAAACCAACGGCCAGUAGUCCCAAUCCCAGGAAGUGGAGGAUCCAGUGAAGCUUUAUGCGACUUGAUAUUGGCAUCUUCGAGGAGAGAAGAGCCUCUCCGGAAAUCCCGAGGAUGGCCUCGGUCAUCAGUAAACAGCACUGCGGGAAUUAGUUUGGUCAAUUACGAACACGUUUACACUGCGUGCAAAACUUCAUGUUCCGAAGAGAGAGAGAGCUAAAAGUGUGUUGACUGGAUCCUUGUAUCUUACCUUUGCGGAAAGUUUCGAUGAUUUAUACAUGACGUGUACUAACCCCAACCGUGAAGCAUGUCGGAUGCCAGAUGAAGAGAGAGUAGUCGAGUUGGGCGCAGAGGACAACGAUGUAGACAGCUGGUGCGAAGAAAAUAAGGUGGAUGAUAAAGGACAUCCCGAUGGCUGUCCAGUUAGUGGCAUCCUUUUUGAUCUGCGCCAAGUAUUAUCAGAGAAUAAUGAUGGGAACAAUGAUAUUGUCAUUCGGUUUUGAUGCGCCUGUAAACGUAGGCUGAAGAAGCACAACCUUAUUAAGCAUCUAUUUACGUAUCGUGUACGUAAUCUAGUCACGUACCUUUUCUCAUCCGGCAUAAGCAUUAAGCCUGCAAUAAAUUUCUUUAUACUGCUUUUGAUCAUUAUCAUUAAUUUUUGCUCACGCAGAACAGUUCUCAACAGUUUGAAAUAUUGAAUCUUUUUGACAAAAUCUUUCUAGAUGUACAGUAAUGUUUACUGUGGAAUAUGGUCAUCUAUUUAUUUUCGUAAUUAUUGUCCCUUGGUGCCAAGGCUGUGUCGCGAUAUUUAAACAAUUUUGUACUACUUCUUGCAUACCUUUUUCUGACAAUGAGAUAAUCCUGGAUCUAUUUGAAAACAUUGGUUGCGAGAGACUUUUGACACGCAGAUUGUUCUACAAAGAUUACGAGAUUAGCACACUAUGCGAGACUGAUGUCACGUAAUGGGAAAUAUUUGAUAGAAGUAGUGAUUAAAGAUAAAUUAAACCAACUUUCGUGUCAGAAAGUCUGUAUCCGUAUAACCUGAUGAUAUGAACAUGGAUAUAUUACCUUAUCGAUACAUAAAAUGUACUUAUCAUGGUGUAAAUAUUUUAUUAUUAAUAUCAUUUGAAGAGCGAACUGCAGAAGAGGACUACUUUCUGACUGAUUGCGAUCGAGUAGCGUGGUAAAGAGGGAGGAAUUCGAGUAAGUCGUAACUACGAUUCACUACUAUGUGAAAAUCCCGCGAAUUCUAACUAGCGUCGUGUAGAGGGGCUUGACCAGGACGAUAAAUAGGCCGACAACGUAUGAGGAGAUU